ACAGAUACCUGUUGAACGCAUCCAAGUCCUCUACAAGGGUCAGGUAAUUUAGAUUGAUGUUCAAAUGUUUGUCCCUUCCCAAAACCACUAACUCAGCAAAGUAAACAAGAGCUAGCUUGUAGAUGUCAUCUUCCUCUGUGCACCUCAGAAAUGCUUCUUCUAAGGCAUUACAUGUAAUUCCUUCAUCUAUAAAAUAUCUU
rnacentral:lncRNA from 1 species